CUGGUUCACUUAAUUUGUGCUACCUAUAAGUAAACCCACACACACAUGCACCACACACACAUGCACACACAUGUGCACAUGUGUACACACACAUAUACAUCACACGCACGCAUACCCAUGUGCACACACACAUGCACAUUCACCAUACACACAUGCACACACACAAAAACAAAUACACCAAAAACACAUGCACACCUAUGUGUACACACAUAGGCACACACACAGACACACAGACACACACACACACACACACACACACACACACAGAGGCACACAUAGGAGUCAGGCAUGGGCCCAGGCGCUGGCAUGCACAAUUUGACCUUCUUUUAUGUGUGCGUGGUAACUGGAGAUGUUGAACUGAGCCUUGACUGGGUGAUAAAGCCAGACUGUGAGUCUUCCUCGGAUGCAAAGGGGGGAAAGUCACCUUUUCAUAAACUGUUGAACUUCUGUCCUAAAGCUUUUGCUGAGGAAAGUGUUCUGCUGUCUCAGACUUCAUUUGUGUAAAUAUUCUGCUUCUUUGAUCAUGAAUCCCAUUUUCUUUUAGAAUAGCACCCUAGUCCCCAGAUGAAGAUUCUUUGUAAGCAUGGUGCAGUGCCAAUAAUUGCUCCUGAAUUACAAAGGAAAUUUAAAACGUCGGUGAACAAAUGUUCUCACCUCCAGGCAAAUGUGAGCUGCAGAUAAGUGAGAGCAGUCUCUCUGUUUAAACUCUCAGGAUAUGUGUGACACUGUUCCACGUGCAGUGUUCCUGUCUUCAGGGUGGUUGUUAGAUUAAAGUUUUAUUGUUACCUCUGGCCUGAUACUUUUAGGCAUAGAGAGUUACUCUAUUUCUACUUCUCUAAGUUUUACUGACCUUAGAGUUUGUUCAUUCCUUGGUAGAAGAGUCCUUCUGGUUCCACUAAAGAACAAAAUUUCCCUCUCCUCCAUGCCCUGGCAAUCUUCAGCCUUGUAAAGAAUCAGUGUUCACUUUGGGCUGUGGACGUCUUCUCCUUGGAAGAUAAUUCUUGAGCAGCACAUUCCUGCCUUUCAUCUCCUCAGCAUUCUUCUGGGCUUCUGUAUUUGCACACGAGGCCUCUGCAAAGACUGAGGAACUAGCCCUGGGUGACCUCACCAGGCAGGAAGAGUGGGAACACAGCAGUGAUUUAUCAAGUUGGUGACUGUUAGGCGUUUUCGCUGUGUGUCUCUUCACUGGCAUCUGAUGUCCAAAUCAAUGUCAUAUUGGUGGUGUAAUCUCUGCCCUGGUCAGCUCAGCUGAUUUUGCCUCACAGAGAUGAAGGAGCUGUCUUGAGAAGCAAAAUAAGCACCACAUUUGAAGCUGUAACUGGCUCUCUCAUUACUCGCAGGGGACUGCACCAGCAUAUUUCAACUGGCAUCUAAAGAAUGAGCAUAAAGAGGCUGGAGAGAUGGCUCGGCAGUUAAUAGCUCGGCUGUCCUUGCAGAGAACCUGUGCGUGGUUCCCAGCACCCCCAUGGACGCUAACAAUCAUCUUCUGUAACUCCAGUCCUAGGGAGUUCCAUGUUCUCUUGUGACCUCUGCAUGUGCCAGGCGUGCACCUGAUGUGCAUGCAUGUUUGCAACACACACUUACAUACACAAAUUAACUAACUAAUUAAAGAAAGUGUGGAUAAAGCAAAA